CUCCUGACAUAUACCGCUGAAACAAUGUCGACGGGUAUCAUGCAACAGUAUAAAAGAAGAAUGUCAGUAACUGAGUAUCAAACAAUUCUUUUCGACACAUAAGUUUCUAACUCAAGGGACAAUUAAAGUCAUAACUGAAUUGCAAAAAUCAGACAAUGAAGACAAUCGCAAUCCUGUUGAUACUUGCGACUUUGUUAGCAGUAAAAGCUGAGGAAAAUGGAAGAG